AUCUGUAAAGGAAGAACUGGGGUGUCACUCUGGCUAGUAUGUGGAUGGCCUUUAGAGAGAAAGAGUCAAACCUAGAGGCUGGCCUGUGCUGGUGCCAGCUGCUCUUCUGCUGAUGAGCAAAGUAUGAUAUUAAGACAUGCUUAUUAUCAGACUGAGAGAAGAAAACAGUGGACUCAGCCUCCGGCUUCAUCCCUAGGCUCUCAGGAAGCAGGAGAGCAAUAACUUCUAUGUUCUGAUUUACUCUCCAACAAGGGACACCAUUAACCUAAAUAAAAGAGAACAUGGUGUGUUUUUCUUUCAAGCUGCAGUACAAAUCCAUGUAUUUUCCCAUCACGGUCUCCUUCCCUAUGAACUGAAGCUGAAUCCAAGAAAGCCAAACCAUCUGAAGAGAACAACUUGGAAGAAGCCAAAU